ACACCCUUGGUAAGCUGCCUCCCGGCGGUCAGACUCGCCUGCUUCUGGAGCAAACCACUCUCGUGGUGUGACGGGCGGUGUGUACAAGGCCCGGGAACGUAUUCACCGCAGCAGUGCUGAUCUGCGAUUACCAGCGAUUCCAGCUUCACGAAGUCGAGUUGCAGACUUCAAUCCGGACUGAGACAGUGUUUCUGGGAUUGGCUCCACCUCGCGGCUUCGCGACCCUUUGUCUCUGCCAUUGUAGUACGUGUGUAGCCCUGGACGUAAGGGCCAUGCGGACUUGACGUCAUCCCCGCCUUCCUCCGGUUUAACACCGGCAGUCUCCUCAGAGUGCCCAACAUUACAUGGUAGCAACUAAGGACAAGGGUUGCGCUCGUUGCGGGACUUAACCCAACAUCUUACGACACGAGCUGACGACAGCCAUGCAGCACCUAUCACCCUGUCCCCGAAGGGAACCCCACAUCUCUGUGGGAUUCAGUGGAUGCUAAGCCCAGGUAAGGUUCUGCGCGUUGCUUCGAAUUAAACCACAUACUCCACCGCUUGUGCGGGCCCCCGUCAAUUCCCUUGAGUUUCAGUCUUGCGACCGUACUCCCCAGGCGGCGAUACUUAACGCGUUAGCUUCGGUACCGAAGGGCUGAUUGCCCCCAACAUCCAGUUUCGCAUCGUUUACGGCGUGGACUACCAGGGUAUCUAAUCCUGUUUGCUCCCCACGCUUUCNNGCUCAGUGUCAGUGCUGGUCNAGAUGGCCGCCUCGNCNACGGAUGUUCCUCCCGAUCUCUACGCAUUUCACUGCUACCGGGAAUNCCGCCAUCCUCUACCGCAC
rnacentral:rRNA from 1 species